AGCUCCAAUAGCGUAUAUUUAAGUUGUUGCAGUUAAAAAGCUCGUAGUUGGAUUUUGGGUUAGGGUGUCCGGUCCGCCGUUUCGGUGUGCACUGGGCGCUCUUUCCUUUCUGCCGGGGACCGUUGGGUGUCUUAAUUGCCAUCCCUCGGGAGUCGGCGUUGUUACUUUGAAAAAAUUAGAGUGUUCAAAGCAAGCCAUCGCUCUGAAUACAUUAGCAUGGAAUAACAUGAUAGGACUCCGCUCUUAUUUUGUUGGUUUCCGAGACUGGAGUAAUGAUUAAGAGGGACAGUCGGGGGCAUCCGUAUUUCAUUGUCAGAGGUGAAAUUCUUGGAUUUAUGAAAGACGAACUUCUGCGAAAGCAUUUGCCAAGGAUGUUUUCAUUAAUCAAGAACGAAAGUAC
rnacentral:rRNA from 1 species